rnacentral:lncRNA from 1 species
UACAGCUUCAGUUAGAAACAAAAGGCUCAAUAGGAAAGUAGGGGUUAUUUUAGAUAACAAUGAGUUGACAUUCUCAAUAAUUCAAGAGUCAGGGAAAGUGACAGUUUUCUAUUGCUGUUAUUUAUUUAAAAUAUAAGCCAUAGUUAUAACUUAGAAACAAUCACAACUGACCUGUCUUUCUAGGUUCUAUAGAAGCCUACCGUUACAGUUUAGAUCUAGGAUGUUUCCCAGCAGUCUUCUGGGCUUAGGAGGAGGCCUCUGGAAUAUGAUUGGAUUGAGGAGGCCCCGCCCUCCUCCAUAAACCAAUCCUCCACCCCCACCCCGUGUGCUCAUAGCCCAGUGUGCUGUUAGAAAGUACAGCCUGGUUGGAGGGCAGGUCACUGGGGGCGUGGCCUGUGUGGUGCUCCACCUCCCUGGCUCCUCCCCUCCCGCUGCUUCCUGACUGCCCAGGCUUGAGCUCCUCUUACUCAACCAGGGCCCGGCACUAUCUUUAUUUCUCCAUGAAGUCAGGCGACUGCAGAUGGAAACCACAGACCAAAGUAAACUUCUGUUCCUUUAAAUUGUUAGGUGUUUUUUUUUCAGCAACGAGAAAGUGACUGACAAGAAAUGUGUAAAUUAUUCUCCAACGAUUUUGAGAAAUCUCAUCCAUAUUUACCCAACGUAACACGACUUGGGAGCCAUGUAUGUGCCUGUUCGCAUCACAAGACAAAUAAGCAUUAUGAAAGAGAGCAAUGCCACAACCUAAGAGUUGGCUGAGCAAAAUAUUGAUUAUACUCGCAGUUCCUUAAGGAGAUCCUGGCUUUUAUUACAAGUGUGCAAAUAACAAGUUCACGGGCUACCACCCCCCACUUGAGGCUGCAUCCAGAC